rnacentral:misc_RNA from 4 species
CGAGGUCAACCUUUGGAAAAUUGGGGGUUUUACGGCAAGAGUCCCUCCGGAUCCCAGUGCGAGACGUAAAGUUACUACGCAAAGGAGGCUCCGGGAGGGUCCGCCACUACCUUUGAGGGCCUACAUCGGCUGUAGGGCCCCAACACCAAGCAGAGCUUGAGGGUUGAAAUGACGCUCGAACAGGCAUGCCCGCCAGAAUGCUGGCGGGCGCAAUGUGCGUUCAAAGAUUCGAUGAUUCACUGAAUUCUGCAAUUCACAUUACUUAUCGCAUUUCGCUGCGUUCUUCAUCGAUGCCAGAACCAAGAGAUCCGUUGUUAAAAGUUUUGAUUAUUUGCUUGUACCACUCAGAAGAAACGUCGUUAAAUCAGAGUUUGGUUAUCCUCCGGCGGGCGCCGACCCGCCCGGGGGCGGGAGGCCGGGAGGGUCACGGAGACCCUACCCGCCGAAGCAACAGUUAUAGGUAUGUUCACAAAGGGUUGUAGAGCGUA